UACGUAGGGUGCAAGCGUUGUCCGGAAUUAUUGGGCGUAAAGAGCUCGUAGGCGGUCUGUUGCGUCGGCUGUGAAAACCCGGGGCUCAACCCCGGGCCUGCAGCCGAUACGGGCAGACUAGAGUUCGGCAGGGGAGACUGGAAUUCCUGGUGUAGCGGUGAAAUGCGCAGAUAUCAGGAGGAACACCGAUGGCGAAGGCAGGUCUCUGGGCCGAUACUGACGCUGAGGAGCGAAAGCGUGGGGAGCGAACAGG
rnacentral:rRNA from 1 species